GUAGGGGGAGGAUUUAAACCACCGUAAGUUGGGACUACAAGCCACCACCUAUCUCUCGGCCACCCUACCUG
rnacentral:tRNA from 1 species